rnacentral:lncRNA from 1 species
UGCUGCUCCUCUUAUCAAGAAGAGCCCUCAAAUCUGGGUUUGGCCAUGCCACUUGUUUUGCCCAACAAAUCAAGCAGAAGUGAUGUGCAACUUAUGAGCCUAGGGCUGAAGAGGUCAACUUCACUCUGGAACCCAUGCUGGUACAGAUACAGCCUAAGACUGCAUCCUUUUAAAGGCAUUAUUUCAUAUUGCUGAGGCUUCAAACAUCACUUGGAACCCUAUGAAGUCAUGUGGUCCCAGUUCUGUAUUUAUAUAAUAUGAAAUGGCAGAUUUACAUUUAUUCCUGUGUAAUUUCAACCAGUGAUUUUGGCCCAUUGACCCAUCCUGUUGAAAUCUUUAAAUAUUCUCAGUCUGUCUGUCAACCAAUACACUUGGAAACCAAUUUUGUCACUAUCAAUAGUAUUGACCCAGCAGGUGUGUGUUUCACUUGAAUUACGGAAGAAUUGCUCGAAAUCACACAGUUGAAGACUGAUCCAGGAGAAGGUUUGCUUAGACAUAAAGCCUAAUGUCUCUGGAAACCAUCGAAUCUCAGACAAAGUGGGCUGGUUGGUCCCCAGCAGAUAGGACACUAGGCUGAUGGGGGAGUGGGUGGCAAAGCGGACUGAGGUCAGAGGCACAGCAUGAGGUCAAGUCAGCGGCAAAGAGGAUAAUUUUUACACCUCAACAGAGUGGAUAUGCCAAGGGGUAGUCAGGACAAUAGGCUUAACAGUGUUGGAGAGAGAACACGUGUGUGUGACACAGGUGAGCACCUUUACAGGCUCUGUGAGACAGUGUCGCUGUGCUGA